rnacentral:rRNA from 1 species
GGAUUAGAUACCCUGGUAGUCCGCACAGUAAACGAUAUACACUAGGUGUUGGUAUGGAGAACAUAUCAGUGCCGUAGCUAACGCGUUAAGUGUAUCGCCUGGGGAGUACGAUCGCAAGGUUUAAACUCAAAGGAAUUGACGGGGGCCCGCACAAGCGGUGGAGCAUGUGGUUUAAUUCGAUGCAACGCGAAGAACCUUACCUGGGUUUGACAUCCGAAGAACCUUUCAGAGAUGAGAGGGUGCCUUUUGGAGCUUCGAGACAGGUGCUGCAUGGCUGUCGUCAGCUCGUGUUG